rnacentral:lncRNA from 1 species
UAAUCAUGAUGCUCUUCAUGACGACGUCGUGGAUUCGGCGUAUUUGACGGCGGUUCGUGGAUUCGGAUCGUGGGCUCGUGGAUUCGAGUGGCGUCGUGGAUUCGGCGUGAUUGAAGCUUCGUGGAUUCGAAGUUGAGGCGUUCGUGGAUUCGAACGUGAGGGCGUGGACAACCCGGAGGGUAGUGCGAAGAUUCAUAGGAGGUUAAGAGAGGUUAAGUCCGUGGAGUCGAUAAUCACCUUGUAAUCUUUUCUCUUAGUGAAUUGUUUUUUCGCGUGUUGGUCCCGUGGGUUUUUCUCCAAGUUGGAGUUUUCCCACGUAAAUCUCGGUGUGCUUUUUAUUUUU